GUCAGGAUGGCCUAGUGGUCUCAGGCGCCAGACUCGAGUUUUGAUCCGCGUGGGUUCAAACCCCACUUCUGACA
rnacentral:tRNA from 1 species